rnacentral:rRNA from 1 species
AGCGAACGCUGGCGGCAGGCCUAACACAUGCAAGUCGAACGAAGCCUUCGGACUUAGUGGCGGACGGGUGAGUAACACGUGGGAACGUGCCUUUAGGUUCGGAAUAACUCAGGGAAACUUGUGCUAAUACCGAAUGUGCCCUUCGGGGGAAAGAUUUAUCGCCUUUAGAGCGGCCCGCGUCUGAUUAGCUAGUUGGUGGGGUAAUGGCCCACCAAGGCUACGAUCAGUAGCUGGUCUGAGAGGAUGACCAGCCACAUUGGGACUGAGACACGGCCCAAACUCCUACGGGAGGCAGCAGUGGGGAAUCUUGCGCAAUGGGCGAAAGCCUGACGCAGCCAUGCCGCGUGGAUGAUGAAGGUCUUAGGAUUGUAAAAUCCUUUCACCGGUGAAGAUAAUGACUGUAGCCGGAGAAGAAGCCCCGGCUAACUUCGUGCCAGCCGCCGCUGUAACAC